rnacentral:lncRNA from 1 species
ACUCUAGUCUUUCUUUUGAUUUUCCAGCUACUAGAUAUGAUUAAACCUGUAAUAAAUGGAGUGAAGCCUCUAUAUUACAUUCUCCAGGGAGUUUUUUGUGGUAAUUUAUUAAAUAAAAAGAUAAAUUCUGUUGGGCUAAUAUAUUUGUUUUAAUUGAGCUUUGAGGGUGUUGUACAUUUGAAUGACUUUUACCCAGUAGAUACUGAAAUAUGUUUUUUAAUUAUAAGUUUGGUGUACAUAUGUGGGAAACCAGCAAAGUUCCAUAUAGUAUAGUCUUGGCUUAGUGAGAUAAAAGUUAUAGAAGAGGACAUUGGAAAUCUAGCCACACUGUGGCUAAUAGGCUUGGUUCUCUGAAAUAAAAGUAUAAUUCAGGGCCAAUAAUGUGGAAGGCAUUGAGAAGCAUAUCCACCAAGGAGCAACAUUAUGGUCAUUUUGUCUUUGUUAUUACUUACUGCUUUAUUCUGAGAACAAUACAGGCAUUAAAGUUCUAGAAGCUUCACAGAUCAUUAAUCAUCAACAUAAAUUCAGUGAAUUAGAAUUCUUUCUUCAAAAGUAUGUGUCAACUUCAGAUUGCAGAUUUGCCAAAGCUUCAUGUAGAGCCCUUCUCUCUUUUAUCACGAGUAAAAGUUCAGGUUUAAAAUAGAACAACGGAUGACUAAUGCCAUUUCCAGCUGUGACUGAAUUCUCCACUGCCUGAUGCUUUUCAAAUGUAUCUGAAUCAGAAUCGAACACCCACUUUAUGCAUAGCUCCCUAAUCAGGAAGUUAUUCUUCCCAUCAAAGCAACUGGAAAGAAAAAAGAUAAAACAAUGAAGGGAGGAGAAAACACAAAAGUUCAAGAAGAGCAGAAUGUUCCGGCAAGGAGAAAAAGCUGGGAAAAGUCACCAAUGAAUGCCAGGGUUCACCACUAUCUUAGGAAUAUCAUGAAUAAAGCGUUAGAUUGGGUGUGCCCUAACUGAUGGUCACAAGCAUGAUACUAAUUAUCAGGGUGAACAAAGCAGGGGAGUAAGAGCAUCAGUAACUGUGAAACUCUAGGAGUUUGUCUUCAUUCUUUCAGUGAUAGAAUAUCUAGCAUUUGUAUUUCGUACAUCAUACACUUGAGUUAGUAUCUGUGGAAAGGAUAAAUACAUAAGGAAAAGAGAUGCAGGAAGCUGCAGAGACACUGGCCAUUUAUCUGAGAAGUGCCCAAUGAGGCAUCACCGGAUAAGCACACGUCGGGUCGUUCUCCUGCUUCAGUCUGUGGCGUUGACAUUAUCAAUGCUAUGGAUGCCUCAAGGCUCUCAUAAAAAUACAUGGCUUCAGCAAUACGCAUGCAGUUAUCUCAGUUUAAAGCAGCCACUAAUCUCAAUUGAAUGCAGCUGUGAAUGCAAAUUGACUGAUGUUAACAGAACUGCUCUGAGAGUUCUCAAAUAAUAUGAGGGUGCAUAGUGUGGAAGGCAGUCACUAAGUUUGGUCUAAUGGAGACCACAUACGAAGAUCUAAUUCAACACCAUGAGUUACCCCCAGAAGUUAAAUAGGUCCCUAAUUCAGCCUGCUGCAUAAGGUUGUAUCAUAAAAGAGAAAUGGGUUCUGCUCCCUGCUUAAUAAGAAAUCCUGCUUACUUCUCCAGCUUUUGAAGCACAGAUUAUUUUUCUUCUCUUCAUCAUAUAAAAAUGGAAAUUAUCAAAACAAAACAUCAUCAAAACAAAACAUCAUCAAAAACAGGUUGCUCUCUGAGUAAAGGUUUUAUGUUUGUUUGGGAUAGAAUCUCAUUCUGUCACCCAGGCCAGAGAGCACUGACAUUAUCAUGGCUCACUGCAACCUCAAACUCCCAAGCUCAAGCGAUCCUCCCACCUCAGCCUCCCAAGUAGCUGGGACCACAGAUUCACCUGUUUGCUUCCUAAGACAGAAAAUAAAUAGGAGGAAAAGGAUCAGAGUCAAAAUUCUGAUAGGCCGCUCCAUUGGGAAGUCAAGACGGUAUCUUAAGUGCUGUAUUCCACUCGAUGCUCUAUUUUCCUGCUUGCUGCAGUAACUGUGGUUUCAUACAGAGUAUUAGAACUACCAGGGGCAAACCAGAGACAACAACAUCUACCUCAGAGUAAUAUUUUUGAGAUUAAAUG